GGAAUGUGGGGUGUGCCCGCGCCUCACACAAAGGCGGCGGUUGGGCGGGAGGCGCAUGCGCAGGGAGGGGUUGGCGCACCCACGUGGUGCUGGGUGAGGUGCAUGUUGUGGUUCUGCUCCUGACACAGCUCUUUUGCCAUGCAGGAAGCCUCUGAGGAAGGCUGCCUUUCUAAAGAUUAGAUCCAAGUUGAUGGAAGUAAUCCCAGCUGACUUGGGCAGCGCUAGGUCAGACCAUAAACCAGUUGCCCUGCAGCUAACUGAAAAACAUGGCUUCAAUGUGAGAAGUAACUGAAGCACACAUUGGCAGUGGGUGGCAGAAGGGCCCAAGGUUUCAAAAGCAAACUGCAUGGGACCGCUGAAGAAACAGUCCAUUGAAAACCCACCUCAUGUAAGUUUUAGGCAAAGGUGGUCUCCAGCCCUUUCAAGCAGAAUUUCAAGUUGCUGAGCUCAUCCUCCAGCACCACUUGGUACUACUCAGGGUAGCACUUCCAUUGCCAGGAUCCAGCUCAGUAGAACAGUCCAUCUUUGCUCUCAUCAUUUGGCCCAAGCACACCUCAGCACCCAGCAAGUUCCCUCAUUCCUACUGAAGAGAUGGGAAUCCAGUGUUCAUCCUGAGUACCCUGCUACACCUUCUGCUUCCGUUUCCAUUUGCAAGAAGUGUUUGCUGCUUCUGUGGAAUUUAUUAAAGAUUUCUUUAAUAAAACUACUGUUG
rnacentral:lncRNA from 1 species